GACGAACGCUGGCGGCGUGCCUAACACAUGCAAGUCGAGCGAAUGAAGUUCCUUCGGGAAUGGAUUUAGCGGCGGACGGGUGAGUAACACGUGGGCAACCUGCCUCAUAGAGGGGAAUAGCCUUCCGAAAGGGAGAUUAAUACCGCAUAAGAUUGUAGUAUCACAUGGUACAGCAAUUAAAAGAGGAAUCAGCUAUGAGGUGGGCCCGAGGCGUAUUAGCUAGUUGGUGAGGUAACGGCUCACGAAGGCGACGAUGCGUAGCCGACCUGAGGAGGGGAUAGGACACAUUGGGACUGAGACACGGCCCAGACUCCUACGGGAGGCAGCAGUGGGGAAUAUUGCACAAUGGGGGAAACCCUGAUGCAGCAACGCCGCGUGAGUGAUGACGGCCUUCGGGUUGUAAAGCUCUGUCUUCAGGGACGAUAAUGACGGUACCUGAGGAGGAAGCCAUGGCUAACUACGUGCCAGCCGCCGCAGUAACAC
rnacentral:rRNA from 1 species